rnacentral:rRNA from 1 species
GAUGAACGCUGGCGGCGUGCCUAAUACAUGCAAGUCGAGCGAACGGACGAGAAGCUUGCUUCUCUGAUGUUAGCGGCUGACGGGUGAGUAACACGUGGAUAACCUACCUAUAAGACUGGGAUAACUUCGGGAAACCGGAGCUAAUACCGGAUAAUAUUUUGAACCGCAUGGUUCAAAAGUGAAAGACGGUCUUGCUGUCACUUAUAGAUGGAUCCGCGCUGCAUUAGCUAGUUGGUAAGGUAACGGCUUACCAAGGCAACGAUGCAUAGCCGACAUGAGAGCGUGAUCGGCCACACUGGAACUGAGACACGGUCCAGACUCCUACGGGAGGCAGCAGUAGGGAAUCUUCCGCAAUGGGCGAAAGCCUGACGGAGCAACGCCGCGUGAGUGAUGAAGGUCUUCGGAUCGUAAAACUCUGUUAUUAGGGAAGAACAUAUGUGUAAGUAACUGUGCACAUCUUGACGGUACCUAAUCAGAAAGCCACGGCUAACUACGUG